rnacentral:piRNA from 1 species
UAUGCAGUGUUUGCACUUGAAGGGUUAUA